GGAAUUUUGCGCAAUGGGCGAAAGCCUGACGCAGCGACGCCGCGUGAGGGAUGAAGGCCUUCGGGUUGUAAACCUCUUUCAGUGGGGACGAAGCGAAAGUGACGGUACCCACAGACGAAGCCCCGGCCAACUAAGUGCCCGCCGCCGCGGUAAUACGGAGGGGGCGAGCGUUGUCCGGAUUUAUUGGGCGUAAAGAGCUCGGAGGCGGCUUGGCAAGUCGGUCGUGAAAACCCGGAGCUCAACUCCGGGACGCCGGUCGAAACUGCCAUGGCUAGGGUCCGGUAGAGGAGAGUGGAAUUCCCGGUGGAGCGGUGAAAUGCGCAGAUAUCGGGAGGAACACCAGUAGCGAAGGCGGCUCUCUGGGCCGGUACCGACGCUGAGGAGCGAAAGCGUGGGGAGCAAAC
rnacentral:rRNA from 1 species